rnacentral:rRNA from 1 species
UUUAGAGAUAGAUUUGGGCCUUCGAAGAGUUAUGACAGAUGCUGCAUGUGUUGUUGUCAGCUGAUGAUCGUGAGGUGUUUGGUUAAGUCAGCAAAAGAGUGCAAACCUGGGCGUUACUUUCAAGUGUCUAGUCGCGACAGCCCGUGGCAAACGGGAGGAAGGUGGGGAUGGAGGCAAA